UGUUCGCGUCAAACGUCCAAAAAUAAACAGAUCGUGGCAAUUAAAACUGUUUUUUAAGUGUUGCCAAGGGACCCUGUCAGAUGCGUGACUGAGACAAGACGAUAGGGGCCCAUCACCGUCGCAUUCUAUUGCUCGGGACACAAAGGUUAAGCGCAAGAAAUUUCCUUUAAAACUUUGCUCAUUGGUGAACCCUGGUUGGGUAAUUUUUUCCACUUUCAUUCGGUGGCCUCUCAUAGACCGACAGUGAACAAACAGUAAUUGUGGAGGAGUCGGAUUCGUUAUAGAAUUCUAGAGUGGAAAACAAAAGGCAUGCACAGCACGCUUGGUGAUUAUCAAUUGAAGGUAUCAGUCGCAGCAGGAGCUGGCAAUCAAAAUAACAAAGCCAUUUUUUUGGAAUUCGGCAACAACAACAAAAAAACCCUCAACAUUUCAAGAGCAGCAGUGCACGUGAACACGAGAACUGUGGCCCCUUAAUAAAUAACGUCACCAAGCGGCAGUCCUUGAAGAAGCCGCACGCGGCCUCGAAGCCACAGGCCCGCCGGCCCCUGUGUUGGAGCAAUACAACUGGACAACGUUAUAUGUAAUCUCGUCAGUCAGCGAUCGAAUGUGGUGAUCGUGGCCGGAUGGAAGGCAGCGGUUUGCCUAUUUUUGAGAAUCUGAAUCAAAAUCUCCAUGCGCUUAUCACCACCCGGAGCCCGGAUCUAAAUCGAAGCUCUCAGCUGUGCGGGAGCGAAACAUCAGAUGUGACGUGGAGCUGAGCCGUGGUGCGACCCGACGGCACAUCGGAAAGCCCGGGUUUCACUCGCCCGCAGAUGCUCGGUCCACUCCGCGCCCCGUGUGGACAGAGCUGGCGCAUGGAACAGGUGGCGGAGGAACGAUUGGCACCGUGGAGGGAUGAGGGACAUCUGAGGUCAGG